UACGAAGGGGGCUAGCGUUACUCGGAAUCACUGGGCGUAAAGCGCACGUAGGCGGAUUGCUAAGUCAGGGGUGAAAUCCUGGAGCUCAACUCCAGAACUGCCCUUGAUACUGGCGGUCUCGAGUCCGGGAGAGGUGAGUGGAACUGCGAGUGUAGAGGUGAAAUUCGUAGAUAUUCGCAAGAACACCAGUGGCGAAGGCGGCUCACUGGCCCGGUACUGACGCUGAGGUGCGAAAGCGUGGGGAGCAAACAGG
rnacentral:rRNA from 1 species